rnacentral:lncRNA from 1 species
CAGCCAGCAGUGGCAACCUGCUUGGGUCCCCUUCAAUACUGUGGAAGCUUUGUUCUUUCAUUCUUUGCAAUAAAUGUUGCUACUGCUCACUCUUUGGGUCCACACUGCCUUUAUGAACUGUAACACUCACUGCGAAGGUCUGCAGCUUCACUCCUGAGGCCAGUGAGACCACGAACCCACUGGGAGAAAUGAACAACUAUGGACGCACUGUCCUAAGAGCUGUAACACUCACCACGAAGGUCUGCAGCUUCACUCCUGAAGCCAGCGAGACCACAAACCCACCAGAAGGAAGAAACUUCGAACACGUCCAAACAUCAGAAGGAACGAACUCCAGACACGCCGCCUUUUAGAACUGUGACACUCAAACGGCAACACUCACCGCGAGGGUCCACGGCUUCAUUCUUGAAGUCAGUGAAACCAAGAACCCACCAAUUCCGGAAACACUGGGAUUACAUGCCAGUGCCCAGCCGGUUGUCCUUUUAAGAACAGGAGAUUAGGAUGCACAGAGAGACACCAGGGAUGUGGGUGCACAAAAGGGUGACUAUGUGAAGAGGCAGAAAGAGGGCAGCCAUCCACGAGCCAAGCAGAGAGACCACAGGAGAAACCAAGCCCGCUAAUGCCUUGAUCUUGGAUGUUCAGCUUCGAGAACUGUGGAAAAUAAAUUUCUGUUGUUUAAGCCACCCAAUCAGAGGUAAUGCUGCUCCACAUACAUGACUUUUUAGCUCCAGAACCUACCAACAAUGGAUGGCAGUCUCUAUAUCUCACUCUAGAGAACUGGAUUGGCUGAGAGUGACCAAGCUGAGAGUGCCAGAAGUUGGGCAUUUUGUGCCCUCAGGGGGAAAUUACCACUUUUAUGUUUUUGAAAAUAUAAAUUCACUGAGGGAAUGGAUUGCCUAAAAGGGAAUAGGUCUCAGAACACCAGAAAAAGGAGAUGUGGUUUGACCCAGAAAGGAGAGAACCGGAUUUCCUCACUCCUAUUCAAGGUUGGCUACCUUCUAGAUACUCCAGAGACACCAUGAGUUUCAUUUUCCAGCC